rnacentral:rRNA from 1 species
AGUGAACGCUGGCGGUAGGCCUAACACAUGCAAGUCGAACGGCAGCACAGGAGAGCUUGCUCUCUGGGUGGCGAGUGGCGGACGGGUGAGGAAUACAUCGGAAUCUGCCCAGUCGUGGGGGAUAACGUAGGGAAACUUACGCUAAUACCGCAUACGACCUUCGGGUGAAAGAGGGGGAUCGCAAGACCUCUCGCGAUUGGAUGAGCCGAUGUCGGAUUAGCUAGUUGGCGGAGUAAUGGCCCACCAAGGCGACGAUCCGUAGCUGGUCUGAGAGGAUGAUCAGCCACACUGGAACUGAGACACGGUCCAGACUCCUACGGGAGGCAGCAGUGGGGAAUAUUGGACAAUGGGCGCAAGCCUGAUCCAGCCAUACCGCGUGGGUGAAGAAGGCCUUCGGGUUGUAAAGCCCUUUUGUUGGGAAAGAAAUCUUUCAGGCUAAUACCCUGGGAGGAUGACGGUACCCAAAGAAUAAGCACCGGCUAACUUCGUG